AAAAACAUGUCUUCUUGAUAAUAUUUUGAAGUCUGUCCUGCUCGCUGAUUUCUUAUUGAAGAGCCGCGGUAUUUUGACCGUGCAAAGGUAGCAUAAUCAUUAGUCUCUUAAUUAGGGGCUGGUAUGAAUGGUUUGACGAGAAAUUAACUGUCUCUUGAUAAAUAUUAUAAUUUAACUUUUGAGUCAAAAGGCUCAAAUAUUUCUUUAGGACGAGAAGACCCUAUAGAGCUUUACAUUUAAUUUUUAUAUAUUUUUUAGGUUUUCUAUUUAUAUUUAAUGUUGAUGUUUUGUUGGGGUGACAUGAAGAAUAAUUAAACUCUUCAUUAUAAAAUCAUUAAUUUAUGUUUAAAUGAUCCAUAAUUUAUGAUCAAAAGAUUAAGUUACCUUAGGGAUAACAGCGUAAUUGUUUUUGAGAGUUCAUAUCAACAAAGCAGAUUGCGACCUCGAUGUUGGAUUAAGAUAAAAUUUGGGUGCAGAAGCUCAUUAAUUAGGUCUGUUCGACCUUUAAAUUCUUACGU
rnacentral:rRNA from 1 species